rnacentral:rRNA from 1 species
CGAAAGCCUGACGGAGCAAGACCGCGUGAGGGAGGAAGGCUCUAGGGUUGUAAACCUCUUUUAUCAGGGAAGAAGCUCUGACGGUACCUGAGGAAUCAGCAUCGGCUAACUCCGUGCCAGCAGCCGCGGUAAUACGGAGGAUGCAAGCAUUAUCCGGAAUCAUUGGGCGUAAAGCGUCCGCAGGUGGGAGUUCAAGUCGAUUGUCAAAGGCAGUAGCUUAACUACUGAAAGGCAGUGGAAACUGAACAACUAGAGUGCGGUAGGGGUAGAGGGAAUUCCCGGUGUAGCGGUGAAAUGCGUAGAGAUCGGGAAGAACACCAGUGGCGAAAGCGCUCUGCUGGACCGGCACUGACACUGAGGGACGAAAGCUAGGGGAGCA